GGAACAGCGCCGAGGUUGUUACCCUGCGGAGCCGGCCCAUUCCUGACCCGAGCGCCGAGCGCUGGGGGCGGCGCCCGGCGCGUGGAUCCUCUCAGCUCCUCUCCUCUUUGGCCGCUCGGAUUUCUGUCUAGGAGGAAGAUAACCCUCCCUGUGUCUUUCACGGGACAUCUGACCUUCAAUCUGGAAGAGUACUAUAAACACUGCCCAGGAAACGGAGAAGAAGGAAGAGAAGAUGCAUUCAGGAUCCACUCCAAAGUAGAAUGACAAA
rnacentral:lncRNA from 1 species